CGUGGCAUAUCAAGAAGCUGAUCAGACAGCAUGGGUGUUGCACAGGUGUGCCUUAGGCUGGCAACUCGGAAAUGUGCAGUCCCAUCACACAGCACAAUGGCACAGAUGUCACAAGUUUUGAGGGAGCCUGGCAUGCUGAAUGUCCACCGGAGCUGUUCCCCAUGAAUUAAAUGUUCAUUUCUCUACUAUAAGACCACUGGAGAGAUACUAGAGCAAUCCUUUAUUGCUCUCUAGUGGCCAAAAUUAGGAACAGUCCCCAGUAAGCCUUGAAGGGCAGUGUUUUUCAGUCUGGAGCGAUUUUACUAUGUGUAUAUAGGUGAAGAAAAGUCAACCAAAAGAACACCAGAAACCCUCCUUAACCUUAUUUGUAAAUUAAUUUUUUAUAAUUUUGUAAUUAAUUUCAGAAUAUUUUUUUGGUUUUGUUUUGUUUUACAUUAUUUCACAUUGAAGCUUAAUGUUAAGGUAUGUUGAGACUGUUUUUUUUCUGAAUCAGGACAAAAUAUCAAGCAUUAUUAUUAAAUAUCAGCGUUAUUUCAGGAGUCGAUAACUAUGACCUGGAUGACUGAGAACCUUCACAGACAUCAAAUAAUCCCAUACUUCUUUUUCAUCCCUCGCUAUUUUUUCUCUCUUCCUACACUUUGCAAAUACUUUCUCAAUGACUGUGAACAGUAACAUCAAGUUCACACGAGAAGAUGUCCACAACAGUUUGGCUUUCUUGGACUGUGCUGUACACAUUGAAGAGGACAGGAGCCUGCAAAUUUUACAGGAAACCCACACACACGGAUCAAUACUAUACGCAACAACAUUGUGAUUCAGACUUGGCCACGGGUGGCUCUAACGACCAUGACGAUUGUCGUUACAACAGCCAGGAGCACUAACGAAUCAGCGGUAUCAACGAUCCUAGCAAACAAUCCCACAGAGGUUAAAUAGCUGAGUUUCCCUACAGUCAGUCAGAACUGAUGAAGUCUCUUGGAUGAAAGGGACGAAACGUCUUGUAGUAUCUUCAACCAAGUCCAGUUGCCCUUGACCUCAACCUUCGUUGGAUAUGGGAUUAUUUCAAGCUAAAAGAAAACAACAACUGUGUGUAAUAUUACAGUCCGUCCACCAUAAAACGAAAAUUAUGUGGCCUACCGCAACAGCAUGGCGUAAUGUUACAGUCUAUCCAACGUAAAACGAAACUUACGUCACCGCAACAGCAGGAUGGCGCCUGAUCAAAAAGCACCCGGUGUUAUGCCAGCGGACCAUAGACAAGAUAACAGUAACAGCAACUUUAGCAUUUAACUGAAAUCAUGAUUGAUUUUUGAGUUGAGGCUAGCCAAAGUAAGCCGCAAUCCUCAGCUGAAACUGUUUACGUCUGCUGCGCGCGGCCACAUGUGUGAGAGGACAACAAACACUGGCAGCUGCUGUGCCAUUCAUCAUGAACUUUGACUUUAAAACUUCAUACAACAAGGUCCAAACAAAAGAAGGGCUGAACGCAAAAUAGCUAAGGUGUCCCAUUUUACUGGCGUCCUGUCCAGGGUGUACCAUGCCUUUCGCCCGAUGUCAGCUGGGAUUGGCUCCAGCACCCCCCACCCCCCCCCACCCCCCCACCCUGUAUGCAGGAUAAGCGGUUGACAAUGGAUGGAUGGAUGGUGUCCCAUUUUGCCACUACCGCCUGUAAAUAAGUGGUCUCAGACAUAUUAUGUUUGAGAUGGAGUCAUCGAUUCUGUGUUUGAUAAUUCUUUAUUUUUUCUUCAUUAUUGUAGUAUGGGGGUUAAUGUUUAUAGAAUAAAGCUAAUGUAAGCUAAUUUUAA